rnacentral:rRNA from 1 species
AUUGAACGCUGGCGGCAUGCUUUACACAUGCAAGUCGAACGGUAACAAGCCGCAAGGUGCUGACGAGUGGCGAACGGGUGAGUAAUGCAUCGGAACGUGCCCAGUCGUGGGGGAUAACUACUCGAAAGAGUAGCUAAUACCGCAUACGAUCUAUGGAUGAAAGCGGGGGACCGUAAGGCCUCGCGCGAUUGGAGCGGCCGAUGUCAGAUUAGGUAGUUGGUGGGGUAAAGGCUCACCAAGCCAACGAUCUGUAGCUGGUCUGAGAGGACAACCAGCCACACUGGGACUGAGACACGGCCCAGACUCCUACGGGAGGCAGCAGUGGGGAAUUUUGGACAAUGGGCGCAAGCCUGAUCCAGCAAUGCCGCGUGCAGGAAGAAGGCCUUCGGGUUGUAAACUGCUUUUGUACGGAACGAAACGGCUCUGGUUAAUACCCGGGGCUAAUGACGGUACCGUAAGAAUAAGCACCGGCUAACUACGUG